rnacentral:rRNA from 1 species
GACGAACGCUGGCGGCGUGCUUAACACAUGCAGGUCGAACGGUGAAGCUCCAGCUUGCUGGAGUGGAUCAGUGGCGAACGGGUGAGUAACACGUGAGCAACCUGCCCCUGACUCUGGAAUAAGCGCUGGAAACGGCGUCUAAUACUGGAUACGAGAAGGGUCCGCAUGGGCACUUUCUGGAAAGUUUUUCGGUUGGGGAUGGGCUCGCGGCCUAUCAGCUUGUUGGUGAGGUAAUGGCUCACCAAGGCGACGACGGGUAGCCGGCCUGAGAGGGCGACCGGCCACACUGGGACUGAGACACGGCCCAGACUCCUACGGGAGGCAGCAGUGGGGAAUAUUGCACAAUGGGCGAAAGCCUGAUGCAGCGACGCCGCGUGAGGGAUGACGGCCUUCGGGUUGUAAACCUCUUUCAGCAGGGAAGAAGCGAAAGUGACGGUACCUGCAGAAGAAGCACCGGCUAACUACGU